rnacentral:lncRNA from 1 species
UUAUUUCAUAGCAGUCGUCGACAAGUACGUUACAAAUGUGUUUGUAAGUUUCUACGACAGCAAAGAAGCUGAAGCUGAUAUAAGAGACAUUUAUCAACAGUUUUAAGAAAAUUUGAGAAGCAGCAGCAGCUAUGGACCCUAAUGUCAACCGUGGUUCGCUCGAACUUGCCUGAGGACACUCCAACGUCAGCGAACCGGAUGUAAAACAGUCCGAAAGAGGGAAUUGCCUGCUGUUGUAAUGACAGACUGCCGCCGCUAGAUAGAGAUAGAAUACAGGAGUCAACAGGGUCUUACAAUUCAAGCACAACUCAACGAUGGCAAACCAGUCAGCAUAAUGUAUUUCUUGGGCAGCAGAGAGAUCAAGCAAUGGAACAGGAAACACACAGAUGUUUACUAUGGACAAUUUUGUGGGAAAGGCAUCAGCGGAGUCUCUGGGAGCUGUCCUGAACACCUCUCGCUCUGCGUUUCCCCUGGUGUGAAUGUAAGAUUCCUUCAGCUGAUCGCAGCCCUUCUGAUGACAGGUGGAACUCUAAAUCAAUCUCAUCACAGACUUCCUACAAUAUCUACAAGACCUCUGCUGCAUUGAGUAUUCAGACCAAAUGUUCAUCAUAAGGUUCCGACCUCCAACAGUGGAAGCGAAGCUAUUGUGUAAAUACCAUAGGUGCCACAGUGAAUAAAAGGUCACACCUGGGAGAGCUGCUGCCUGCUAUGAGAGACUGUUGACAGCUUGAUUGGAGCUACUGUAUCUGUG